GAUGAAGAACGCAGCGAAAUGCGAUAAGUAAUGCGAAUUGCAGAAUUCAGUGAAUCAUCGAAUCUUUGAACGCACAUUGCGCCCGCUAGUAUUCUGGCGGGCAUGCCUGUCUGAGCGUCAUUUCAACCCUCGCCCCCGGCUUUUGCUGGGAGCGGUGUUGGGGAUCGGCCGCCCGUCACUGGGAGGCCGGCCCCGAAAUAGAGUGGCGACCACGCCGUGUGCUCCUCUGCGUAGUAGUAAAUCACCUCGCAGGCGGACAGCGGUGCGGCCUGCCGUAAAACCCCCAACUCUUUCUGGUUGACCUCAGAUCAGGUAUGAAUACCCGCUGAACUUAAGCAUAUCAAUAAGCGGAGGA
rnacentral:misc_RNA from 1 species